rnacentral:lncRNA from 1 species
AAAAACCUCAAAUACCUUCAAAUUACCAAAGAAUUGGCCAAGGGAUUUAUCAUAGGUCAAACAAGGUCAAAGGACCUUUGACUAAUUUUUUUGGCAUUUUUUGAAAGUCAUAAGUAUUUAAAAUCAAUUAAAAACAAGUAAAAAAUCAUUAAAUUCACUAAAAAUAUCAAAUUAAAUCCAAAAAAAAUGAUUUUAAUUCAGAAAAUGGAAGAGGAAUGAGAAAAUAUUGAAC